rnacentral:lncRNA from 1 species
UCUUUCCUCCUCAUGCGAUUGCUUUGUGAGCAGAAGAAGUUGCAGAAAUGUGUUGAGCUCCGGAUGACACAUCCUACUUUACAUCUGCUGUGACGAUCAGCGUCCCACACACACCGUGCUGCUUGCUUCAUCAAAUAUAUGUGAUCCUCUCAUCGUUUGGAGUGCGUAUAAUCAGAUAUUCCCGCUUUAGACACUCAGUCGACAAGCUUAUGGUGUUUGAAAAUGUAUUACGUGACAUAGGGAAGUUAUAUAAUUUAGAAAAUAGAGCAAAAGACACAAAAGGGAUUCAUUCACAAAACCAAAGAGUGCUUUCUUGUGUUAGACGGUAGAUUAAAGUGGUAAACAUCAGCACACGGAUGUUAAGUUUAUAAAAGCAAACGCUUUAAUGCUCAAGAAAACAUUUAGGCUCAAAUUUCAGAUUUAUGAAUUUGAAUCGCACAGUUUGGAUUGCAGAGUUUUAAUAUAAACUAAUAAACUUAAUGUGAUGUAUAUUUGUCAUGUAAAUAAAUGGGAAAAGUCAAGAUUUCUGCAUUCCAAAAGAUUGCAUCUAUUUGAUUUUAUAUAAAAACAUAUGUUAAUAUUGCACGUAUAUAAAAAAAUGUGCAGAAUCAGCAUAAAUCUGUUUAAUGUUGAAAUGAAGAUGGUUAAAACAUGACUAUUUGUGGAACAAGCAAUACUAUGAAACCAACUGGAUUUAUUGAUGAUAUAUAUAUAAAGUUGGUAAUUGUGUGUUUAAAAUGCAUUCAGUUUAUGAGUGCUAUUACAGAAAUCUGAUCUUUUUCAGUUAUACAAACAUGCAUCACAUUAUGUUUCUUAGUUUGUUAAAAGUGUGUAAUUCAAACGGAUGGAAGAUUUAUAUGCAGUUCAAAUACAUACUGUGAAUCUAAAAUUUAGGCCUAAAUAUUUGUCAGUUGUUUUAAUCUGUGGUAGUUUUUUCUUGCAUUAGUACUCGAGUAAAGUGUGUUUCUGUCAUCAGACUGGGUUUAUUCCACUAACCUGAACAACCUCACUGAUUUACCACUGUGUUAACCAGGCAACUAACACUUGACCACUGUUAACUUCACUGUUUCUGUGGUAUUUAUUGAAAUUAGGAGUUACACUGUAUAUUGAACACAUUUAUACUAAUGUUUCUCCAUGACAGUAUUGUUCACGGUGCAUGAAGCUCCAUUUUGAAGCAGUAGUUUACCCAAAAAUAAAUAUUUGCUACUCUCCUUCAGAUCAUCCAAGAUGUAGAUGAGUUUGUUUCUUCAUCAGAUUUGGAGAAAUGUAGAAUUGCAUCACUGCCUCAUCAAUGGAUGUGAAUGGGUGCCGUCAGAAUGAGAGUCCAAACAGCUGAUAAAAACAUCAAAUUGUUGCGUGCAACUUAAAUAUGACUCAAUCCAUAAUAACGCUUCCUCCAGUGAAAAAGUCCAUCUCCUGUUGUCCCUCACAUAUUUGUUUAGAGCUGUUUUGGCUUGUAAAUGGUGCUUGAUCUGUGCAGAUUUCUCUCCUGAUUCACACAAGACCAUUUUUUCACUGGAGGAAGCGUUAUUGUGGAUUUGUUAAAAACAUCUUGAUGGAUUUGUUUCAGCUUGUGUCUUCUCCAGAUGAUAACUGAUGGACUGGAGUGCUGUGGAUUAUUCUGAUGUUUUUAUCAGCUGUUUGGACUCUCAUUAUGACGGCACCCAUUCACAUCCAUUGAUGAGACACUGAUGCAAGUCUACAUUUCUCCAAAUCUGAUGAAGAAACAAACUCAUCUACAUCUCGGAUGGCCUGAGAGGGAGCACAUUUUAAGCAAACUUUCAUUUUUGGGUGAACUGUUGUUUUGAAUGAAAACACGCAUGUGUAAUGACUAGCAGGUUGUUGCACUGGAAGACCGCUGCGAAGCUG